rnacentral:tRNA from 1 species
AGUUGUCCGUCUGGGAUAUAUUUUGUCUUGAAAAUAAAAUAAAAGUGUUCAAUUCACUUGACAACUU